rnacentral:rRNA from 1 species
UUUUACCCGGUGUGGAAAUAGCAUAUCAAUAAGCGGAGGAAAAGAAACCAACAGGGAUUGCCCUAGUAACGGCGAGUGAAGCGGCAACAGCUCAAAUUUGAAAUCUGGCUCUUUUAGAGUCCGAGUUGUAAUUUGCAGAGGGCGCUUUGGCUUUGGCAGCGGUCCAAGUUCCUUGGAACAGGACGUCACAGAGGGUGAGAAUCCCGUACGUGGUCGCUGGCUAUUGCCGUGUAAAGCCCCUUCGACGAGUCGAGUUGUUUGGGAAUGCAGCUCUAAAUGGGAGGUACAUUUCUUCUAAAGCUAAAUAUUGGCCAGAGACCGAUAGCGCACAAGUAGAGUGAUCGAAAGAUGAAAAGCACUUUGGAAAGAGAGUCAAACAGCACGUGAAAUUGUUGAAAGGGAAGCGCUUGCAGCCAGACUUGCUUACAGUUGCUCAUCCGGGUUUCUACCCGGUGCACUCUUCUGUAGGCAGGCCAGCAUCAGUUUGGGCGGUAGGAUAAAGGUCUCUGUCACGUACCUCCUUUCGGGGAGGCCUUAUAGGGGAGACGACAUACUACCAGCCUGGACUGAGGUCCGCGCAUCUGCUAGGAUGCUGGCGUAAUGGCUGUAAGCGGCCCGUCUUGAAACACGGACCAAGGAGUCUAACAUCUAUGCGAGUGUUUGGGUGUCAAGCCCGAGCGCGUAAUGAAAGUGAACGGAGGUGGGAACCCGCAAGGGUGCACCAUCGACCGAUCCUGAUGUCUUCGGAAGGAUUUGAGUAAGAGCAUGGCUGUUGGGACCCGAAAGAUGGUGAACUAUGCUUGAAUAGGGUGAAGCCAGAGGAAACUCUGGUGGAGGCUCGCAGCGGUUCUGACGUGCAAAUCGAUCGUCAAAUUUGGGCAUAGGGGCGAAAGACUAAUCGAACUAUCUAGUAGCUGGUUCCUGCCGAGUUCCCCUCUCAGGAGA